rnacentral:lncRNA from 1 species
UGCAGCUGGACUGGGGAUGGGUCAUGAGGCAGAUGAGCAGAAAAGGACAACCCUUAGCAUAGUUGCUCCAGGUCCUAAGGACCACACAGCAUAUAGCACAUGACCCACUGCAUCCAGUGACCAAAACACAGACUUCCCCUGUGAGAAGGAAGAGAAGUAAUCAGGAUCCACCUGUCUGUGACACCACUGCUGUAAGAUGAACACCUGCAUGAAAGAACAAGACCUACACUUCAGGUAUUAAGAGCAGGAAACUCAGAAGUCUUUAGCAGCUUCAGCACCAAAAAUCUUGUGGAGAGUUUUCAGGUACUGCAUCCUUAUGCAGCAGGAGUUCACUGAUGCUUAAUUAUGCCCGAGAGAGAUGAGAGAAGCAGAGCUCCCACUAAACUUGAAAAAUGUGGUAGGAAAAUGAUUCAGUUGCAUCCCAUUUACAGGAUGACUAGGAUUCUGUUUCAUCCAGAAGGA